rnacentral:piRNA from 1 species
UAAGAUUAAGUGAUACACUGAAGUUUUA